UACGUAGGUGGCAAGCGUUACUCGGAAUCACUAGGCGUAAAGCGCAGGUAGGCGGUUCGGUAAGUCUCUUGUGAAAGCUCCCGGCUCAACUGGGAGAGGUCAAGGGAAACUACCGGGCUAGAGUGUGGCAGAGGAAGCUGGAAUUCCCGGUGUAGCGGUGAAAUGCGCAGAUAUCAGGAAGAACACCCGUGGCGAAGGCGGCUCUCUGGGACGGUACUGACGCUGAGACGCGAAAGCGUGGGGAGCGAACAGG
rnacentral:rRNA from 1 species